UACGUAGGUGGCAAGCGUUGUCCGGAUUUAUUGGGUUUAAAGGGUGCGUAGGCGGUUUGAUAAGUCAGUGGUGAAAUACGAUAGCUUAACUAUCGAGGUGCCAUUGAUACUGUUGAACUUGAGUACAGACGAGGUAUGCGGAAUUGACGGUGUAGCGGUGAAAUGCUUAGAUAUCGUCAAGAACACCGAUAGCGAAGGCAGCAUACCAGACUGAAACUGACGCUGAGGCACGAAAGUGUGGGGAUCAAACAGG
rnacentral:rRNA from 1 species